AGACAGCCUUGAGGUCCAGCAUCACCAGGGCUGUGAGGCCUCUACUACUGCUUCUGCUGGGUCAUGAAUCCUGAGGCCGUGAAGCGGGAGCUCCCCAGACCCCGUGGGCGUUGGGGUUUCCCCUGAGCGAGAGGAGAAAUUAAAAGGGAGUAGAUAGAGGCUGAGGCUGCAGCUUUAUGUUCAGUCUCCACCCUCCACCUCCUCUGCUUGCCUUUGCAGAUCUGUGCAUUGCGUGCAUUGCUCCCACUUGAUGGCUCCAUCAUAGGACACUUAGGAGGAGCUCUGAGAAGUUUAGAAGGCAUUCUAUGCCUUGGAUCUACUGCGUGCAGCAUGGCGAUGCCAGGAUGCCGGUCCAAGCUCCCAAUGCAACACCAGGACUGAUGGGCACAGGUACCACACUAUAGUAGCAAUUUACAAGUGUCAGCCAUCCUUGCAGGAACGUGCUAUGAGCAUUGAACAGAAUGGAAGACAGUUGAAGGAAUGGAAUAUGACUCUAGCUUAAGUCAAGUUGACAUGAAGCUAGCUAACACAAGGGCAUUUGGAGUCAACAGAAUGGCACGACUCCGGGUGUAUCUGGAGUUUCUACGAGAGAAGUUUAACUGAGGAGACAAGGCCCAGCCUGAAUGUGGGAAGCUUCAUCCCAUGGACUGGGCUCCUGGAGGAGGUGAAGAGGGAAAAAGACUGCUGGAUGACCACUGGAAUUCUUCUGUCUCUGUUCCCUGACUACAGAUACAAUGUGACCAACCAGCUGCCUCUUCUUCCCAGGGCCACACCUUCCCCUCCAGGGUGAAUUGUACUCUCAGCCAGCUACAAUAAACCCUUCCUUCCUUA